UCGAGAGUCUUCGGCAAGGAGGCUGAGGGAGGAGACUACUGCAAAAGUUGGAGAGGGUGAGAUGCAGUGAUGAAAUGACAGGGGAGAUAAAACAGCUGCCAGUGGAUAUAAGAUUACGACUGGAAAACAGAAUAAAUAGUGGACAACUUGGGAUGGCUGCUCUCCAUUUGGUGAAACCUUCCUUGCUACAACUGAGCACCAGAUUAUUUACACAACAUUUCACCAGGAACAGUCUGAACAUAUGAUCAUGAUAUUAAGAUCCCCAACAGAGCCGAGUCACAUAAACAAGACCAGCAGUUGCUUUGUGGAACACUGCUUUAUUAAAAUAUGAUUCUGAUUCAA